GUGUAUAUUUCAAGAUCGCUGCAAGCUAUGCAUGAGGGUGCCGGGAUCGGUGACUGUGAGCGGUUUGAAGGCAUGCUUAGCGCUGAUGAACAGUUUGUAGGGAUGGUUAUCAGGUCUGACGAGGCGCAAUUCAAACUAAAUGGUACUGCAAACCACCACAGCUGCAUGUACUGGGUUCCUGAAAAUCCUCAAGUUGAUGCGGUCAAACGUGUUAGUCUGCCAGAUGUUAAUGUGUGGUGUGGUCUGUCAUCGCAUAGUUUGAUUGGUCAUUCUUCUUUGAAGGUACUAGAGCCAGUAAGAUGUACCUUCAUGUGCUACAACAUCAAUUUUACAUGCCAUCUGAGAGGUCUUUGGGAAUGAAAAAUUUUGCGUACAAAAUGAUGGCACUUCACUUCACUACCACAGAGAUGUCAGAGCCGACUUGGAUGAAAAUCUACCUGAAUGAUGGACGCCCUUUAGCAAAAAAAAAGAGGAAGGCAGUGGUUAUACCAAAAGUGUACGGAAUUUGGCUACUUCGUGACGACGGAUUCCAAAAAACAGCCAUUUGGCCACAGAAUUGACGUUUCCUACAGGGGGUUUCUGUAAAACACUGUGAAGAUCGUGGAGAGCAAAACACAUAAUCAGAAACAAUAAAGAUGCUGUCAGGACAAAAAAAGAUGUUGGGUACAACAACAGUGGUUUCUGGAAAGUAUGCUCCAAUGUUGUCACAGUGAUUGAGUAGUGUGCGACUGUGCAGUAGAUCUUACAAAUGGCUGUGUUACUGCUUACAUGCUGUGCAAAAACAGUGAGGUGUUAUUCAACAUUUGUGAUCAGAAAGGGUGCCACUCUUAUAAAAAUACAGUAGAACUUUCACUCUCA